CCUACGGUGGGCAGCAGUGGGGAAUAUUGCACAAUGGGGGGAACCCUGAUGCAGCGACGCCGCGUGGGUGAAGGAGCACCUCGGUGCGUAAAGCCCUAUCGGCAGGGAAGAAAGGCGGGCGGGGCCCGUCUGGACGGUACCUGACUAAGAAGCCCCGGCUAACUACGUGCCAGCAGCCGCGGUAAUACGUAGGGGGCAAGCGUUAUCCGGAUUCACUGGGUGUAAAGGGAGCGUAGACGGCGACGCAAGUCUGGAGUGAAAGCCCGGGGCCCAACCCCGGGACUGCUCUGGAAACUGCGGCGCUGGAGUACGGGAGGGGCAGGCGGAAUUCCUGGUGUAGCGGUGAAAUGCGUAGAUAUCAGGAGGAACACCGGUGGCGAAGGCGGCCUGCUGGACCGUGACUGACGUUGAGGCUCGAGAGCGUGGGGAGCAAACAGGAUUAGAUACCCGUGUAGUC
rnacentral:rRNA from 1 species